CCAAGUCCCGACGCACUCCCCCCGGCGCCGGGACUCUCCGCGAGCCGGACUUCGGCGCUCUCCCCCCGGGUGCCGGGGUCCGGCUCUGCC
rnacentral:ncRNA from 1 species